GACGAACGCUGGCGGCGUGCCUAAUACAUGCAAGUAGAACGCUGAAGGAGGAGCUUGCCUCUCUGGAUGAGUUGCGAACGGGUGAGUAACGCGUAGGUAACCUGCCUGGUAGCGGGGGAUAACUAUUGGAAACGAUAGCUAAUACCGCAUAAUAGUAGAUGUUGCAUGACAUUUGCUUAAAAGGUGCAAUUGCAUCACUACCAGAUGGACCUGCGUUGUAUUAGCUAGUUGGUGGGGUAACGGCUCACCAAGGCGACGAUACAUAGCCGACCUGAGAGGGGGAUCGGCCACACUGGGACUGAGACACGGCCCAGACUCCUACGGGAGGCAGCAGUAGGGAAUCUUCGGCAAUGGACGGAAGUCUGACCGAGCAACGCCGCGUGAGUGAAGAAGGUUUUCGGAUCGUAAAGCUCUGUUGUAAGAGAAGAACGAGUGUGAGAGUGGAAAGUUCACACUGUGACGGUAUCUUACCAGAAAGGGACGGCUAACUACGUG
rnacentral:rRNA from 1 species